UACGUAGGUGGCAAGCGUUGUCCGGAAUUAUUGGGCGUAAAGCGCGCGCAGGCGGUUUCUUAAGUCUGAUGUGAAAGCCCACGGCUCAACCGUGGAGGGUCAUUGGAAACUGGGGAACUUGAGUGCAGAAGAGAAGAGCGGAAUUCCACGUGUAGCGGUGAAAUGCGUAGAGAUGUGGAGGAACACCAGUGGCGAAGGCGGCUCUCUGGGCCUUACCUGACGCUGAGGCGCGAAAGCUAGGGGAGCGAACAGG
rnacentral:rRNA from 1 species